GAUGAACGCUGGCGGCGUGCUUAACACAUGCAAGUCGAACGGAAAGGCCAGUGCUUGCACUGGUGCUCGAGUGGCGAACGGGUGAGUAACACGUGGGUGAUCUGCCCUGCACUUUGGGAUAAGCCUGGGAAACUGGGUCUAAUACCAGAUAGGACCAUGCUUUGGAUGGUGUGGUGGAAAGUUUUUUCGGUGUGGGAUGAGCUUGCGGCCUAUCAGCUUGUUGGUGGGGUAAUGGCCUACCAAGGCGUCGACGGGUAGCCGGCCUGAGAGGGUGUACGGCCACAUUGGGACUGAGAUACGGCCCAGACUCCUACGGGAGGCAGCUGUGGGGAAUAUUGCACAAUGGGCGCAAGCCUGAUGCAGCGACGCCGCGUGGGGGAUGACGGCCUUCGGGUUGUAAACUCCUUUCGCAACUGACGAAGCUUUUUGUGACGGCAGGUUGAGAAGAAGCACCGGCUAACUACGUG
rnacentral:rRNA from 1 species